rfam:Sutterella wadsworthensis CAG:135 genomic scaffold, scf149
GGGGGCGCCUUGGUUUCGACAGGGACGCGGACGCCGUACGGGGCAUGCCGAGGUGCAGUCACCUCGUAAAUCCGCUGCAAACUUAUAAACGCCAACAACAAGCGUUUCGCUCUCGCGGCUUAAUCCCGCGGGAUGCUGCACUGAUUUGACUUUGGGUCAGGCCGGGUAACCGGCAGCAGCAUCAAAUCACAAAGCCUAGGGCCCGCGGCUGUCUCCGACGCGUUCCCGAAAUCUAGGGGGCUGGGCAGCGGUUGGCCCGCCGGUCGGCAAAGCCGCUGCUAAGACCUAAAUCAUCCGGCUAUGCAUGUAGAACCGACGGAAAAAGGUUUCUGGACGCGGGUUCAACUCCCGCCGCCUCCACCA